ACGUACAAGCAGUGGGAGCACCCUUUGGGUGUGACUGCGUACCUUUUGUAUAAUGGGUCAGCGACUUAUAUUCUGUAGCAAGGUUAACCGAAUAGGGGAGCCGGAGGGAAACCGAGUCUUAACCGGGCGUUAAGUUGCAGGGUAUAGACCCGAAACCCGGUGAUCUAGCCAUGGGCAGGUUGAAGGUUGGGUAACACUAACUGGAGGACCGAACCGACUAAUGUUGAAAAAUUAGCGGAUGACCUGUGGCUGGGGGUGAAAGGCCAAUCAAACCGGGAGAUAGCUGGUUCUCCCCGAAAGCUAUUUAGGUAGCGCCUCGUGAAUUCAUCUCCGGGGGUAGAGCACUGUUUCGGCUAGGGGGCCAUCCCGGCUUACCAACCCGAUGCAAACUGCGAAUACCGGAGAAUGUUAUCACGGGAGACACACGGCGGGUGCUAACGUCCGUCGUGAAGAGGGAAACAACCCAGACCGCCAGCUAAGGUCCCAAAGUCAUGGUUAAGUGGGAAACGAUGUGGGAAGGCCCAGACAGCCAGGAUGUUGGCUUAGAAGCAGCCAUCAUUUAAAGAAAGCGUAAUAGCUCACUGGUCGAGUCGGCCUGCGCGGAAGAUGUAACGGGGCUAAACCAUGCACCGAAGCUGCGGCAGCGACACUGUGUGUUGUUGGGUA
rnacentral:rRNA from 1 species